CCUGGGGCUACCCUGGAAGCCACUAAAAGAAACUUUCCAGUAAAUGGAGAACGAUUGGACGGGUAGCUUGGAAUAUAGGUCAACUAGGAAGAGACGAGCUCUUGGAUAUGCACUAGACAGACUGUUUAUAUUCUAGUAAGAAAAAUGGAUUGGAUGGGGUUCAGAAAUUAUGAUACAGGAGAGUGAUAGAAUAUCACUGUGUUGUAAGAAAUGAUGAAUAUGAUGAGUACAGAGAAACAUAGGAAGAAUUGUAUGAACUGAUGCGGAGUGAAGCAACCCAUGGUGACCACGACAAGGGAGACGGAAAAAUACCAGCAAAUCAUUAAAAACAAAAUGCUUCAAAAUCAUUAAAACUAAGCUUGGUCUGAAAGAAGAGAUCUAAGAAGUAUCUAAUCCCUAGCUUCUUUGCAGAGGUUGGAGGUGGGUGUGAAACAACGCAGAGUAUCACAUUUUGAUGUGUAGCUGGUUUUGCUGAUGUUUUU